rnacentral:rRNA from 1 species
UACGAAGGGGGCAAGCGUUGUUCGGAAUUACUGGGCGUAAAGGGCGCGCAGGCGGCCAGACAAGUCAGAUGUGAAGCCCCGGGCUCAACCUGGGAAUAGCAUUUGGGACUGUUUGGCUAGAGAUCGGGAGAGGAGAGUGGAAUUCCCAGUGUAGAGGUGAAAUUCGUAGAUAUUGGGAAGAACACCGGUGGCGAAGGCGGCUCACUGGCCCGGUACUGACGCUGAGGUGCGAAAGCGUGGGAGCAACAGG